rnacentral:rRNA from 1 species
UGCGAAGCGAAGCAGCGAUGUGAAGCAAAUCGCACCAAAGCCGGUCCCAGUUCGGAUAAGAGGCUGAAACUCGCCUCUUUGAAGUCGGAAUCGCUAGUAAUCGCAGAUCAGCAUGUUGCGGUGAAUACGUUCCCGGGUCUUGUACACACCGCCCGUCAAACCAUGAGAGUCACCAACACCCGAAGUCCGCUUUGGCGGCCUAAGGUGGGGGAGAUGAUUGGGGUUAAGUCGUAACAAGGUACC